GAAUUGACGUUGGAUUCCCAGUGAGCGGCGGACGGGUGAGUAACACGUGGGCAACCUGCCCUGAAGCGGGGGAUAACAUCUGGAAACAGGUGCUAAUACCGCAUAACAACGAAAACCACAUGGUUUUCGUUUCAAAGAUGGUUUCGGCUAUCACUUCAGGAUGGGCCCGCGGUGCAUUAGCUAGUUGGUAAGGUAACGGCUUACCAAGGCGAUGAUGCAUAGCCGAGUUGAGAGACUGAUCGGCCACAAUGGAACUGAGACACGGUCCAUACUCCUACGGGAGGCAGCAGUAGGGAAUCUUCCACAAUGGGCGCAAGCCUGAUGGAGCAACACCGCGUGAGUGAAGAAGGGUUUCGGCUCGUAAAGCUCUGUUGUUGGAGAAGAACGUGCGUGAGAGUAACUGUUCACGCAGUGACGGUAUCCAACCAGAAAGUCACGGNUAACUACGUGCCACAGCCGNGGUAAUAAAA
rnacentral:rRNA from 2 species